CCUGCCCCUAGAGACAUUGCUGUUAUGGCUGCUGUAUCACAUGUGUAUCAGUAGGUGGCAGAGACGAGACAGGCUGUGUAUAUGCUCUGUGUUCUGACCUGGUAUACCCCCGGAAAAAGGCGAGCCUAAGACA
ensembl:snoRNA predicted gene, 24433